CAGCAGCCGCGGUAAUACGUAGGGUGCGAGCGUUGCCCGGAUUUAUUGGGCGUAAAGGGCGCGCAGGCGGCCACGCACGUCCGUUGUGAAAUCGCUCGGCUCAACUGGGCGGGGUCAGCGGAUACGGCGUGGCUAGAGCAAGCUAGGGGGCAAUGGAAUUCCCGGUGUAGUGGUGGAAUGCGUAGAUAUCGGGAGGAACACCAGUGGCGAAGGCGGUUGCCUGGAGCUUUGCUGACGCUGAGGCGCGGAAGCGUGGGGAGCGAUCCGGAUUAGAUACCCGGGUAGUCCACGCUGUAAACGAUGUCGACUAGGUGUCGGGGGUAUCGACCCCCUCGGCGCCGCAGCUAACGCAUUAAGUCGACCGCCUGGGGACUACGGCCGCAAGGCUAAAACUCAAAGGAAUUGACGG
rnacentral:rRNA from 1 species